CCGGAGAGCCCAGCCCAGGAAGGCGUUUUCCCAACUCAUCAAUAAUUCGUUCCCUCCCGUAGGAAGCGGCUGCUGCUGCUGUUGCUGCGGGCAUCAGAGAUCAAAAGUCUUGUGCAUUUAACGCCCCUCCCCCCCAAAAAAGAAAGAAAAAGAUCGCGUUUGCCCCAUCUUUGGCCUGUUCUAGUGAAAUAAUAAUGUCAGGCUAAAAAGAAAAAGGCAAAUAUCGACGUAAAAGUUAACUCCAAGGUUCAGGGUAAGAAAAAUAUAGGAGGGCAAAAUAUUUGGGUAGCGGGAGGAAGAGGAGAACUCGAUUCGGUGUGGUCGUUUACACUGAGAAUUCCAUCCUUUCAAUGUUACUACUCCAAAGAACAUAUACAAAAACAACGUUCCAUUUAAAGAUACCGGGCGACUCCAAGGGAGCGGGAGGCGUCCCUGCAGAGAAACCACGAAUGACAACAGCCACAGUGACAAAAUGGCAGCUCUCUGCGCUGGCAGUCAUGUUACACACACACGCAGAGAGCAGUGAAAGCGCCCCUAGAGCCUUCGCUGCAAUUCCGGAGCAACCUUCUCCCACCUCCCCGCGAUAACGAUAAAGUACACCUCUCUUCUUAACCUCCAAGCGGGGGAGGAGAGGGGUGCUAGCCGUUUGAACACCUCGGGCUCAAAAACUGCCCCGGAGAAAUAAUACUGAGUAUUUUAAAGGCUCAGAUUCACGGCUAUCAAAUAUCUCACUCAGCCACCCACCACCCUAAAACACAUACGCACACCCUUGUCCCACAUCUCCCUCCCCGAAUAUCGCACAAAUCCUCAUGGAGACAGUCGCCUUCAUUUCAAACCCAGCGUUUUUCUUUUGCAGCUCGAUGGGGGAGGGGGGGGCGGGACGGGAGAAACCCAGGAAAAAAUGGCUGCUCGUCCUAUUUCAGCUUCAACGCGGUGUUGCCAGCCUCCGGGACAAAGUUGAGAAAGGAUUUGGAGGAAUGACUGACUCCCAAAACAACUGUUGGCUCUGUUCCUUAAAAUCUCCAGAGAAAGAGAUUCAGUCAACCCCCUUAGAAACAAGUUCCAGCAUUUUAUAGCAUUUGAAGUCAGAAAGAAGAAGACCAUGACAUCAGGAAGAGCCAUAUGGAUCCAGUGGCAAGACAUAGAUCAGGAUGACUAGAGAUGGUUCCCAUUCAAAAACUAGAGGAAGACUGAAAGAUACCUCUCCCAUCUAUGGUUUGGAGGAAAUUUCACAUACAAAUAAGCAAAAAUCUCAAGAUUGAUAUGAUUCAGUUCUUGUAAGAGUAUGGUAAAUGAGUAUCUGAAGAACAAAUUGACCAUUUUAUAAUCUUGUGAGCUUUGAAAGGUUAAAAGAACCAUUGGAAGACCAGCAACUGGAGUUGGUGAAAGAAUCUAUUGGCUAUCACAGCAAUUGAAUGCAGUGCCAGCACAGAGGAGUGACCUGCUUGACCCAGACCAGCAGUGAAUCUAGGUGGGAUCUGAGACAUCAUGUCCUGAAAACAAGCAAACUACUCAUCCACUGACUAUGCCACCUCCAGAAGUGAACUUUGUGGGAUCUCAGUGAAGAGAGAAAAUAAUUCUUAGGGCCAAGAAGUGCCCUUCCACAUGCAGCUGGGGUGGGGGGAUAUUUUGUACCAACCACUUUAAGUUUGAGUCUAUUCUGUCCAGGGAUUGAGUGUGUGAAGAGAGGAGAGUGCGCCUCCCGGUUUACGUAAAAUCAUUGUACUUUUGCCCUUGCUGUAUCUCCUCAGUAAAUAUUCCUUUGUUAAAGCUAAGUUAUCAUUUGGUCGAGUGAUACUGGGGAACGCAUCAGAUAGGGUUUGUAAGUGCUAGUGUUAGGAUACCUCAGCUAUCUAGGGUUAGCCCUAGAGUUCUUAGGGAAAUUUUGAUCAACUACCUUCUUGGGAUCAUACUAGUUAAUCCAGCCAGAACUGAGAGAAUAAGCCCAGAAGGGUUGUUGCACCAGGCAGAAUGAACAAAUGAGCACUCAUUAAUCAACAAAUAUGUUCCAGGCUCUGUGCUGGCCACUGGGGAUACAAAUACAAAAAAAAACCAUGAGAUAGCCCUUCUUCCUGGAGGAGCUUAUAUUUUGAUAGAGGAAUAUGACACGUAUAGGAUAGUAUGUGCCAUGAAAAGAAGCUUUGGCCUGAAGAAUCAUAAGAAUUAUGAGUGGAAAUGCCAAAAGGCAUCUAUUCAUCACACCCUUUCUAGUCAAAAUGAUAGCGCUGAUUUUAGUGCAAGGGUAAGAGCUGGAAGGGGAUGGAGAAGGUGGAAGGUAGAUGCUAUGAUGCCCAUGCUAGGUAUUCUUUUCCUGGUGGAUCGCUAGAUAACAUAUGAACCAUGGUCUAGAGUCAGAGACAUGUAGUGGGAUACCUGAAUACUAUGAGAAGAAAGCACAGUCUAUGCACCCACAUAACUUGUAGUACAGUACAGAAGACAAGACAAAGGAUGUUCCUAAUGUAUUGGGAAGAAAAAAAGCACUUUAUUGAUCCAUGCUAACUAAAAAAUAUAGGCAAAUGGGUGGUAGUGUGCUAACUAGAAACCAAUGUCAAGCAUCUGUGAUUUUUAAGGUAGAGGGUUACCAGUCAACACAGAUCACAACCCAGCUAUAAUUUAGUAGCUAAGUCUCAGAGUUGCUUGAAAUUCAGUAAUACUAAGUGACUUCGCCAUGAAUUGACUUAUAGUGUCAGAAACAAGAUUUGACCUUGGGUCUUCCUGACUCUCAAAUCUAGCAUGUUGUUUAAUAGAGCAAAUCCUUUCAGAAGAGAAAGCUUCUUGGAGGUGGUAAAUCUUAAUUUAAGCUAGGAAGUGAUAGGGGAGAGGGAAUUGGAGAUUGGCAGAGAGGAGGUAAGGGUGGAACCUCUUGCAUCCUAUGCAUCUCUAAUUUGGGUGAAUUCCACAGAUUUCUCUAAUUUUAGUUACAUGUUCUUGAUUCUUAGCUAAUGCUUUGAAUUUAGAAGACAUGUGGAGAUGUGAAAAAAAAGUUGGGUGUGUAUUGAGCAUAUUAAUGUAAUUUUUAAAACAAUCAACCACUCUGUUACAGAUGGUGGUAGUAUGAUUAUGCUUAGCAAAGCAUGGAAUUGGAGAGCUAGAUUAUGCAAUUCAACUCCCUCCUUUUCCUGAGAAGGAAACUAAAACCCAAAGUGAAGUGAUCUGCCCAUAGUCACACAGAAAGUUAGUACAGGAGCCAAGACCAGACUUCAGACCUCUGGUUUCCAAUCAAGUGCCUUGCUGCUAUCCCACAUUGCCUCCCAAUUCCAACUUUUCCCCUGUAACAUAAUAUUUGCUCAACAUUGAAAUAAUCAUUGCUCCCACAGAACUCUCUAAGACUGUAAUUUACAGCCAAGUUGCCAAUCUGCAUUGCCAGAGGAGUUUCCACAGAGGGAGUUCCUUACACUGAUGAAAUCACAGGUCUGAACCAAAAGACAAUUCAUAUGCAUGUAACACUUCAUUGUUUUCAAAACACUCCCCACCACCACCACAACCACCAUGACCACCACUAUAUCCUAUGAGCUAGGUAGCACAUGCAUUAUUGUGUCUGUAUUGCAGCUGAAGAGACUGAGAUUCUGAGAGAUAAGGGACCAGCUGAAGGAAACUAAGUAAACAAGUGUCUGGGGCAAAAUUUAAACCCAAGGUUGCUAACUUUGAGUCUAGUAUUUUUGCCACUAAAGUGUACUUCCUCUGCUCUGGUGUAAGCUUCAGGGGGAAAAUUGAAAGGAUUGAACUGUUGUGUUUUUGGUUUUGGUCCUUAUGUGUGUUUUCUUUGGGUAUAGGAAAACACAAGGGCAGUUAAGAGUUGCAGUGGAUAGAGUGCAGGGCCUAGAGUUGGGAAGACUCAUCUCCUGAGUUCAAAUCUGAUCUCUUAUUGUUCUUUGUUGUUCAUCCUUUGAAGAGGACCAAUAACCCCAAGAGAGUGAAGGCUUGACUUGCAACUGAAUUGGAUUUAAGUGAGGCAGGGCUGUGCAAAGUCAUCAGCCUCCUUCUCUCCUCCAGAGCCAUAGAAGUCCAGUGGCAAGACAGGUCAGGACAACUGGCGAUGUCUUCAAAAUGCAGUGGGAGAAUUCACUUGCAAGUCAAGACAUCCCCCCUCCUGAUAUCAUUGGUCCUCUUUGAGAAGACAUGGAGAUAUGAAAAAAAAAAUUCAAAAACUUUUCCUCAAGUUUUCACUUUGUCUGGAUGUCACUUUUGCCAUUAUCAAAUUCAACCUUGCAUUAUACCUACACACACACACACACACACACACACACACGUAUGUAUAUGUAUACACACAGAUAUAUAUUUACAUGUAUAUGUUUGCAUCCCUUUGAGUAAAAUACAGGCUCUUGAGAGCUAGGACUGGGUCAUUAUUUUUUAUUUUUUGUCUCUUGCAGCUAACAUAAGGCUUUUCACAUACGCAUGAAAGGAAGUAUUUUUGCUUUAAUUUAGAUGGCAACUCCCUUCACCAAAGAAGGUCACAAGAUAAGGUACACUGAUAUUAAGUGACUUGUCCAAGAUCCUUCACAGGAAAUAUCUGAGGAUGAACACAUUCAGAUUAUUUAACUGAACCUAUGCCACGGAGUCAAUGCCCUUUACCUACCUGUUUGCCCAGCUCUCCACACUCUCUAGCUCAUCAAUGUUCUUCUUACGUUGUGGUACCCAGAACUGAACACAACCCUCCAGCUGAGCUUUGAUGAAGGCAUGGUACAGCGGGACUAUGAACAGCUAGAUGGCGCAGUGGAUAGAGUGCCAAUCCUGGAGUCAGGAAGACCUGUGUUCAAAAUCCAGCCUCA